GGUUUGAACAAGAAAAAGAUUUUUAAAAAGGCUGCACAACAUUGGCUUCUAGGUUUCUUCAUUGGUUUUCCUAUCCUCAUCAUAGCCAUUACAAUAUUUGUGAUAUGGAAUGGUUUAAAAAACCGAUUCACCAAAGAAGAGGAAUCUGCAAGUAACACAUCAAGCUCAGAGGUUAGCAUUCACACAGCUGUGGACAAUGACUAGCAGUUCCAUCUGGAGACAAUCGAAAUAUCAAGGGGGUCACUAAGAAAUGGAAAUUCUGCCUUUCCUAGCCUGCUCACAGCCAAAGGAAACAAUAAACCGAGCGAGUGU